rnacentral:rRNA from 1 species
CCGGCGAAAGUCGGGAUAAUACUUGAUGGUCCCUUCGGGGUAAAGGUUUAUCGCUCUAUGAACGGCCUGCGUUCUAUCAGCUUGAUGGUAAGGUAACGGCUUACCAUGGCUACGACGGAUAGGGGAGGUGAGAGCCUGACCCCCACCGAUGGAACUGAGACACGGUCCAUACUCCUACGGGAGGCCGCAGUCGAGAAUCUUCCGCAAUGGACGAAAGUCUGACGGAGCGACGCCGCGUGGUGGAUGAAGCCCUUAGGGGCGUAACCACCUUUUAUGAGGGAAGAAGUUUAUUGACAUUACCUCAUGAAUAAGGGGCUCCCAAUUCUGUGCCAGCAGGAGCGGUAAUACAGAAGCCUCAAGCGUUACCCGGAUUCACUGGGCGUAAAGGGUGCGUAGGCGGAUAGCUUCGUCAGGUGUUACAUCCUGGGGCUCAACCUCAGGCUCGCAUUUGAAACGGUCUAUCUAGAAGAUGUUCGAGGUGAGCAGAACUCACGGUGUAGGGGUGAAAUCCGUUGAUAUCGUGGGGAAUACCAUAUGCGAAGUCAGCUCACUGGGGCAUUCUUGACGCUGAGGCACGACAGCAUGGGUAGCGAACGGGAUUAGAUACCCCGGUAGUCCAUGCCCUAAACGCUGUCUGCUAGCCAUAGGGGGAAUCGACCCCUCCUGUGGCGUAGGUAACCCGUUAAGCAGACCGCCUGGGUAGUACGAGCGCAAGCUUAAAACUCAAAGGAAUAGACGGGGGCUCGCACAAGCGGUGGAGCGCGUGGCUUAAUUCGUCGCUAAGCGAAAAACCUUACCAAGGCUAGAUAUCAUACUGCACGACCGGGGAAACCCGGUAAGCUUUCGAAGGUGUAUGACAGGUGAUGCAUGGCCGUCGUCAGUUCGUGGCUUGAGCUGUUCCCUUAAGUGGGGAAACGAACGCAACCCUCGUUGCCUGUUACAAGUGUCAGGCGAGACUGCUCCCUCACGGGAGAGGAAGGUGAGGAUGACGCCAGGUCAGCAUGUCCCUUGAUGCCUUGGGCUGCACACACGCUACAAUGGGAUGCACAACGGGACGCAAUACCGCAAGGUGGAGCAAAUCCUUAUAAAACAUCCCCCAGUUCGGAUUGUGGGCUGCAACUCGCCCACAUGAAGUCGGAAUCGCUAGUAAUCGCGGAUCAGCACGCCGCGGUGAUACGUUCCCGAGCCUUGUACUCACCGCCCGUCAAGUCAGGGGAGUCGGGAGUGCCCGAAGUCCG